AUGGAGAAAGAGACGUUCUGUUUAGUUUUGGAAGAAUUUCUUCCAAAGUUGAUCUUUGAAAACUAGAUGUCUUCAUUCAGAAGAAACAAACAAUAGAUUUGAUUUA
rnacentral:misc_RNA from 1 species